UUAGUGGCAGACGGGUGAGUAAUGCAUAGGAAUCUACCUAGUAGUAUAGGAUAGCCACUAGAAGUGGUGGGUAAUACUGUAUAAUCCCUGCGGGGGAAAGAUUUAUCGCUACAUGAUGAGCCUAUGUUAGAUUAGCUAGUUGGUGGGGUAAUGGCCUACCAAGGCAGUGAUCUAUAGCUGGUCUGAGAGGAUGAUCAGCCACACUGGAACUGAGACACGGUCCAGACUCCUACGGGAGGCAGCAGUGGGGAAUAUUGGACAAUGGGCGCAAGCCUGAUCCAGCUAUGCCGCGUGAGUGAGGAAGGCCUUAGGGUUGUAAAACUCUUUCAGUGGGGAAGAUAAUGACGGUACCCACAGAAGAAGUCCCGGCAAACUCCGUGCCAGCAGCCGCGGUAAUACGGAGGGGGCAAGCGUUGUUCGGAAUU
rnacentral:rRNA from 1 species